UCAGUUGAUGGUAGUUUUUUGAGUUGUCUAAGCUGUCUGGGCAGAUGUGUGUUGGCAUUUAGAGAAGUGGAGGUGUCUGUUUGAGGUAAGAGCACUGGGACCAGUCAAAGUUCAGCAGCACACAUAGUAGAAAGUAUGCUUGUAUGCAGGUGCCUUGUGUUUUUCUGGAAUUCCUGACUCUAUUGAAGAUGGAACCUUGUUUUCUUCCCUGGUUUUGCUGUAUACUGUGUGAGCUGCUGAUAUUCUCUCUCUUAACAGGACUGAUGGUGAGAUCAUCUAGCAGGGCUUAGGUCUUCCCCACAGCUGACGGGAGGUACAACAGAGUCACAAGAGACGCGGCGUAAACAGUCUGGGCCUCCGCAUCUCAGUAUGCGGGGCUCAAUGUCAGAUGAGUCUCAUCUCGUAAGGCAUUAGCAGUGAUCCAGGAUGUGUCGGCAUAUCCGCUGUCGAGCGGUCUGUUUUUGGGGAACCCUUUUCUGGGACUACUUCUCAUUCAAAGAACUUGCAUUUUUAUUAACUUCUCAUCAGAGUGGAUCUUCAGCGAUGAUGUACUUGGCAGUAGAAGUCAC